AUUUACUUUCUGCAUUGUGCUCUUGUUUGUUUGCUUUUUAGCUGUGUCUGGUAUAGGAGGAUGAUGGGCAGUGAAUCAAGAGCCCCGUGCAAGCUAGGUGCACCCUUUAUGCACUGAGCUACAUCUCCAGCCUGAGAGGAUUUUGUUUUCUUACUUAAAGUGCCUCUGAGAUGUUGCUCUUAAAAUGAAUGGAGGGGAAAGUUCACCAAUGCCAUGGAAGGCUCCAGAACCCAAAAGAUCAACUUUGCCUUCAUCUGAUCAAGACUACUGCCCCCAGGUGAUUCUAAGCAACAAAUCCAAAAAUGUUUCCAUAACCUAUGCUUCAGCUUACCCUUGACACUUCUAUUCAGAUAGGGCUGAUAUGUGCACACGUUCAAAGGUACUCUAGAAUUAGCUACAAUCCUACACCACUGCCAUCGGAAUCAAACAAAGCAAAAGCCACAGAGAUCUCAAUAGAUUUUAGCCUCCCACAUACCUUGUUGGAAAAAAACCCCAAAUCUGAAUAUCCCUAGUCUUGGCACUUGUUACUAUACUUCUGGACAUGAAAGCAACCGAGGAGAAAAACAGAAUUUUUAAAUUAUCAACAGUCAUUAUAUCACAAAAGAUACUGCUUUUGAUAAACAACCUUUGAGGUCUCUGCCACAUACAGUCAAAGAAGAUGAUUUCUGUCCUCAAAGCCUACACAAUGAACUUGUUUUCCUCAUUCUACCAAUUUACCAAGCAAUCCCUCUUCAGUGCCCCAAAUAUUCUCAGCUUGGGGGACACAGAUAUUAGCAAGAUGCUUCUCCAGCCAGAAAGGCAUUACACAGGAAUAAUUUGUCAGCUGUCCCUCAGGCUACUGGGAAGCUGAAACAGACAGGUAAUCUCUUUAAAACACAAUCGCAUGACCCAGAAAAGAGAAUUAAUACUGCACCUAUCCUACAAACCCCUCAAGCCCAGCUGUUCAUAUGGCCCCUGCUCUGUUAAAUGGAGGUCACCUAAUGUCUCCAUCCUCCCACUUCCUUGAGGUCUGUCUAUUCCAGGAGCUAAGAGGCUUCCUACCUGCUUCCUCUCUACUUCACUUACCAAGCCUUGGAAGUGUUACACUAAAAUUCAAUCCCCACACGCUACCUUGCAAUGUAGCUGUAUAUAGGAAGAAUCCUUAAAGAUGUGGUUAAGGAUCAGCUCCAUGUACACAUUCAUAACUCCAGCACUGGGAAUUUUAGUGCAUUAUUUUACAAGAGUUUCAUAAAGCCCAGGUUAACGACCCCCAUAGGCUCAUAUAUUUGAAUGUGUGAUCCCCAGUUGAUGGUAGUUUGGUAGGGAUUAGGAGGUGUGGCCUUGUUGGAGGAGGGAUGUCUCCGGGUUGGGCUUUGAGGCUUCAAAAACCCAAACAUUCCAAAUUAGCUCUCUCUCUCUGCCUGCCUGUUGCCAUGCUCCACACCUUCUGGAACAGUGAGGCCCAAUAAAUGUUUCCUUUUAUAAGUGGUCUUGGGCACAGUGUCUUAUCUCGACAACAGAAAAGUAACUAAGCCCCCAACUCCCAAUGUAGCCUAGUCUAACUCUGAUCCUCCUGUUUCUACCUCCUUCAUACUGGGAUGACAGUUAUGCAUCACCAUACCUUGGCUUUAGCACUCAGAAAUUUGAGACAGAAGGAUCACAAAUUUGAGGGCAGCCUUUGCUAUGUAGUUAAGACCCUGUCUCAAAUACAAACAAUAAAAAGACAUGGUUAAAGUAAAAUGAGGUGGUAUCUAAACAGUGUUCUUAUGGAAUGAGGUUAGGAGGUAUGUGGCUUUCUGUAAGUUUGAAGUCAGCCGGCUCUACAUACCAAGAUCCAGGACAGCUAAGGCUACCUGGAACUGUCUCAAAACAGCAGCAACAACAACAGAAGUCCACAAUACAAGGAAAGAGAGAGAGAGAGAGAGAGAGAGAGAGAGAGAGAGAGAGAGAGAGAGAUUGAGAAUCCUGUGAUGACAAUGAUGACGAAGGCUGAGGACAUAGCUCAGUAAAGAGAGUGAUUGCCUAGCAUGCAAAAAGCCCUGGAUUCAAUCAUCA
rnacentral:lncRNA from 1 species